GACGAACGCUGGCGGCGUGCUUAACACAUGCAAGUCGAACGAUGAAGCCGGAGCUUGCUUUGGUGAAUUAGUGGCGAACGGGUGAGUAACACGUGAGUAACCUGCCCUUGACUCUGGGAUAACUGCGGGAAACUGUAGCUAAUACCGGAUACGACCCUCGGAGGCAUCUCCUGGGGGUGGAAAGAAUUUCGGUCAAGGAUGGACUCGCGGCCUAUCAGCUAGUUGGUGAGGUAAAGGCUCACCAAGGCGACGACGGGUAGCCGGCCUGAGAGGGUGACCGGCCACACUGGGACUGAGACGCGGCACAGACUCCUACGGGAGGCAGCAGUGGGGAAUAUUGCACAAUGGGCGCAAGCCUGAUGCAGCAGCGCCGCGUGAGGGAUGACGGCCUUCGGGUUGUAAACCUCUUUUAGCAGGGAAGAAGCGAAAGUGACGGUACCUGCAGAAAAAGCACCGGCUAACUACGUGCCAGCCGCCGCCGUAA
rnacentral:rRNA from 1 species